rnacentral:lncRNA from 1 species
GUGGGGCACAAUCCACAGAUCUACCAUCAUUAUGGAAAGAUGGUCCUGCUCUGUUGUGUUUUCAGGAAAAACGAAAGGGCUCCCAGGCCUGCUUGAUGCUUCCAGAUGCCUGGUGACAGGAAUCAAGAACCAGGGAAAGGCCUCAGGAUGCUGAGUUCAGAAAUUGUGAGGAUCGAGGGGUGAGAAAUCGAGAGCAGAUGAGGAAGCUGGUUCUCGUCAAGAUUAACUGACUUGCCCCAAAUUACACAACCUGUAAAUGCAUAAGGAGGAACCACAUCAAUUAUCUGCCUCUGAGGCACACAUUUAAAACAUUUCCUCUGCUGCUUUCAUUUCCUAAUGUCCUGGGGCCAACCUGAGGCUCAUCUGAGGGAGGUGUCUGAGCUUCAUGCAAGAGACCUUGAUGUGUUCUAAUGGCUAAUGCAGAGUCUUUGCUCACAUGUCUACAUACUGAGUACCAUGCUGAAUGCCAGCUUAUUGUAAUCUCAGUGCACCAGAGAUCUAUGAGAAUUUGUGACACAGGAAUCUCUGGACUGGGGAAGCUGAGCAAGUUUUCUUUGAAGAGUGAAGGUGAGUUUAUCUGGAAGAAGAGUCAGGAGAAGAAUGGGGUAGAAUAUUGAAGACAGAAGAAACCAAACACGUAAAAACCCUGGAGCAGGCAGAAUGAAUGGAGAGGAGGGUCCCAAAGCUGUAAGAGAGAAAACUACUUGAGCAGAGGCCCCAGCUGGGCUGGUGGCCCCGAGGCUGACUGCGGUGUGUGCUCCUCCCUCAGGAGGCCAUUGCCUUGCUUGACAUCUCCUGGGCAAGUCUCCACAGAACCUCUUAUCAAACUCCAAAGUCAUCUUCUUCCACACGUUGUGCUAUUAGAGAUUAGAGGAGUUAAUGUAGGUGCAGCUUCCU